rnacentral:lncRNA from 1 species
AGGUAAAACCACACUCUAAGGGUCACUGCUGACUACCAGCACAUUUUGCUGCAUUCUCUUGAUGACCUCAUGGGAAAGACAGUGAGUUAGUUUAAGAGAGGGCAUCUGUGUACCUGCUUCACCCUCUCCCUGUAUGGGUGAAACACUAAGCCUGAGAAGACCUAUGCUUCGGCAGAAUAAUUUGUGAAAAUACCUGUUUAUUGAAGCAUACUGCCUAGACUUAAUUUUAUUUGAAGUUUUGAAAAAUAAAGGAACAAGAAAGAAUGUAUGUAAAAAGUUGUUAAAUGUUAAUUGACUAAAGCCUAGUUUAAAACUUAGGAAGCAACCUUUCUCUGUUUAAACUGUGUGAGAAUCAGGUUUAAGUGAUUGGAGCUGGUUCUUGCAGUUGAAACUGGUUUUGGAAGCAGAUCAGUGCUUGUGAGGGUGGAUAUGACUAUGAAUCAAUUUCAGGACAUAUUAGAGGAUUACAGAGUGGAAGACUUCACUAAGUCUCUUCCAUUAAGAUCCUGGUUCACCACUGGAUCCCCAUGGAGACUGAAUGAAUGGCCGUGGGUCACCAAAGUUUUUCCUCAGAUUAUCACAGAAUACUGAGUACAGUUCCUUGUGCUAUAUACCAGGUGUCCAUUGGCCAAUCACUCCAUAUACCUCAAUGUGCAUAUGUCAGUCUCAGACCUCCAGUCCAUCCCUCCCUGCCACCUGCUCCCUUUGGUAAUGGUAAGUUUGUCUUCAAAGCCUGUGCAUCUGUUUCUCUUCUGCAAAUAAGUUCAUUUGUAUCCAUUUUUUAGAUUCACAUAUAAGUGAUAUCAUAAGAUGUCUCUCUUUCACUGUCUGGCUAACUUAGUAUGAUAAUCUCUAAAUCCAUCCAUGUUGCUGCAAAUGGCAUUAUUUCAUUAUUUUUAAUGCUUAAUUAAUAGUCCAUUGUAUAUAUGUACCACGUCUUCUUUAUCCAUUCCUUUGUCAAUGGACAAUUUACAAUAGCCAAGACAUGUAAGCAACCCAAAGUAUUCUUUUUAGCAAAGGAUAAUGUGUAGUGGUUAUCAAAUUUGGCUAUGGUUGCUAUAGAUCCUAAGAAUUCUGAAAUAAAAAUAUAAGUUAUCUCCACUGACCCCAUGCCACACACCCAAUUUAUAAAUGAUGGGAUAAAGAUAGGAUAAGAGCAAUGGAACCCCAUCUGUGGUGAUAUAAAAUAAAAGACACUGGUGCAUACCUUUUCUGAAAUCCCAAUGGCAGAUCUGGUGAGUGACUUAGGCUCUGGGAGUGAGGACUGCUCAUUAAUAAGGCCCUGAAAAUACUCUUUAAGAGAUCCUUUGCUCAUGGUUGUCCAUGGCCCUAAGCUCUGUCCACCUGAAGGGUCUUCCUUUUCUAUUACAGUGCUUGGCCAAAUCUGAAAUGGGCAUUGGAAGAAUAUGCUGAUACUCGGAUCUUUGUAUAUUAACGGAUCACUGUCUGUGUGUGGGUAUCUGGGUGACCAAGAGUCAUCGUAAGUCUCAAAUCAUCACAAACUCCUGUAUCUUUUAUCAGUACAGCUCUCUCAGAAAUUUAAUAGGAUUUUCAUCUGUUCGAUUCUAGCAAUCAGUUUUCCAGUAGCCACACUCUUCAUUCUUAAAAAGUUUCCCCAAACUCUAUGUGGACAAAACUGAUAAACUGUAUUUUUUUUUUUUUUUGACUUUUUGACUAACGGAAGGCACUUUAAGUCUAUCAGCUUUGGUACAGUAAAUCUACAUCUUACCUUCUUUAUACUGAGUCAUUUCUUCCAGUUGAAAAGUUACUAUGUCAGGAUUCCCACUUCUGGCCAUGAUGGAGAAACAUGGACCCAAUUUAAUAUCCUGCGUUAUACAACUAAAAAGCUGGUAAAACAUGUAAUUGUUUUCACACAUUGGGUAUAAGACAGUAUAGGAUUGUGAUCACUGAGAAAUAGGAAACAAAUGCAUAGGGUUCUAGGAUGCCCUAGUUUUCUAUCUGGAGGCACAUUUGGACCAGUGGGUUAGGGUUAGGGUUAGGGUUAGGGUUAGGGUUAGGGUUAGGGUUAGGGUUAGGGAAGAGGAUGCCAAACAGAGCUGUGGUUGCCUCAGUGAACUGAGAAGGCAAGAGGAUGCCAAACAGAGCUGUGGUUGCCUCAGUGAACUGAGAAGGCAAAGGUAAAAGUUUGGAGUGUCUGAGGUAGCUAGAAUUUGUGGAAAAGAGUUACAGAGAAGAGAAAGUAUCACAGAAAAGACCUCCAGAAAUCUUUGAGUUCCCUCGACUUUAGCUGAAUAACAAACUUUUGGUACAUAGAAUGAAAUUCUAUCAGUUUAGGCCAAAGAACAUCUGGGUAGCCAUGAGCUGAACAGUACCCAGAACUAACCCGUGGCCACAGUAAACUUCUUAGUAAUCACUCAGUGGAGACUAAGAAGGACCAUAGCUUAGUCAUCGGGCUAAGCUAGACCUAAGAGUAAA